AACAAACGCUGGCGGCGUGCCUAACACAUGCAAGUCGUACGAGAAAGGGUCCUUCGGGGCCUGAGUAAAGUGGCGCACGGGUGAGUAACGCGUGGAUAAUCUGCCCUUCAGUUGGGAACAACUCAUCGAAAGGUGGGCUAAUACCGAAUAAUGCUGUGAGACCUCGGUUGAUCAGCCAAAGAGAGCCUCUGCUUGCAAGCCCUCGCUGAAGGAUGAGUCCGCGUACCAUUAGCUAGUUGGUAGGGUAAUGGCCUACCAAGGCGACGAUGGUUAGCUGGACUGAGCGGAGGAUCAGCCACACUGGAACUGCGACACGGUCCAGACCCCUACGGGAGGCAGAAGUGAGGAAUCUUGCGCAAUGGGGGCAACCCCGACGCAGCAACGCCGCGUGAGUGAGGAAGGUCUUCGGAUCGUAAAGCUCUGUCGGAUGGAAAGAACCGCAUAGGGGUAAACAGCCCCUGUGUCUGACGGUACCAUCAAAGGAAGCACCGGCUAACUCCGUGCCAGCAGCCGCCGCCGUAA
rnacentral:rRNA from 1 species